rnacentral:rRNA from 1 species
CCUACGGGAGGCAGCAGUGGGGAAUAUUGCACAAUGGGGGAAACCCUGAUGCAGCGACGCCGCGUGAGUGAAGAAGUAUUUCGGUACGUAAAGCUCUAUCAGCAGGGAGGAAAAUGACGGUACCUGACUAAGAAGCCCCGGCUAACUACGUGCCAGCAGCCGCGGUAAUACGUCGGGGGCAAGCGUUAUCCGGAUUUACUGGGUGUAAAGGGAGAGUAGACGGCAGCGCAAGUCUGGAGUGAAAUCCCAUGGCUUAACCAUGGAACUGCGUUGGAAACUGUGCGGCUAGAGUGCAGGAGAGGGAAGCGGAAUUCGUAGUGUAGCGGUGAAAUGCGUAGAUAUUAGGAGGAACACCAGUGGCGAAGGCGGCUUACCGGACUGUAACUGACGUUGAGGCUCGAAGGCGUGGGGAGCAAACAGGAUUAGAUACCCCAGUAGUC